ACAUAGCGCAAUUCCCCGUCUCCUCUCUUCCUCUUUUUCUCCGUCUCCUCUCUUCCUCUUUUCUCUCUCCCCGCCGCCACCGCACCAUAAUGCUCGUCGCAGUCGCUAGAGCGCGGGGUACUGCAUGAGCCCGCCGUCCUCGCUAGAGCGUAGGGAGCCACACGACCUCAGCGCCAUUCGACGGGCGUGCUGAGGAACAACCAGAAGAUGGCAACGUGAAUCGAGGGUAGGAAACAAUGACAACACUAGGAAGAGCAGGAAGUUGGUGACGGACUCGACAUUGAUUUUUGUGAAGAUGUGAAAUCAGAUUGUACUACUAAAGGAACUCUAUGGUGUGAAAUUCCUAUUUCGAUUUUCUAUUUGCUAAUGCUACUAAAGAUUGAGUUUUUGCCCGUAUAUGGCUGAAAUUUUCAUAGUGUACAUAAGGUUAGGUGAGAGUUCGUUUUUAAGAUGAAUAGAUAGAUACUACCUCUGUUCCAAGUUAUAAUAGAUAACCAUUGUCAAUCAUAAUUAACAUAUAAGCCUCCCUUGUUAAAUAUAAAUUUUAACUUCUUGGUGUAAAUUAAGGGUAGGAACUAUUAUUUUUAUAUUGGUAUUGCAUAAUUCAAUAGUGUGUUUGGUGAUCUGACAAUUUCAUAUUCUCUAUUUGAACCCAAGCCGUUAUGUUUAUAGCAGUUUUAUUAAUUCCAUGUUAUCCCCAUCUAAACUCUGUCAUCUAAGUAUGAAUUUCUAAUCACUGUCUGCAGGCUGCUGUUGGGGUUCUAAUGUUUGUACUGAUAGUCCUGGCAAUACUAAAACCAGGACACAAAAGAGCAUGACUAAGAAAAGCUUAGCCUUGCUGAAGAUUAUUUUCCUAUAAUUGUUUGUCAUGAUUAUCACAUGACAGACUUAUGUGCAUGCAGUGUGGUGGUUUACAUCUAGGACUCUGUGCGCCACCUUUCAAAAGAACAGCAAAGGAACUUUUCACUGAUGAAGAUACCAUAGGUGAUGAUGAUGAGUGUGUAGAUAGUACUGCUGUUGCAGAGCCAUCUGUGCUCCAAUUGAUAAUUUUUAAAUUCAUGCAACCACAAAUUAAACACUAAUCAGCGACAAAAAAUAGGUGUAGAAAGAUGUGCUCAGUUUAUGAUUUUCUAUUCAUGAACAACUAAUUAAACAUUGACCAGCAACAGUAAAUAGGUGUAGAAAGAAGUUUCUUACCAUGAAUAACUGUGCUGCUGUUAUAAUGGUUCUAUGCUGUUGUUACAAUGGUUCUAAGUCAUACAGUCUAAAUGUUAUCACACAGUGAGAUAAAUAAACUGACACUUUACUAACCUUCCGUGUAUAUCUAUAUGGCCUCAAUCUCCUGUUUACAGUGAAAUGGAAGAUAACUAAUCAACAAAGGAAGGUCCUGCAACUGAAGUUUGCCACACUUUUAGUUUUAUAUAUCUACUCUAAUGAUCAUCAUAUAUUUGGAUCGGUAUUCUAAACUACCCAACUAUAGUAUUCGAUAGUCAUGAAAUCCGGUUAUGAAUUGUAAUGCAUGGGUCUGUAAUGUAUGGUCGAACAGAAUCAUAAUAGCUAUGGUAGCUGUGCACGCAAUGAAAGCUCGUGCAAUCUAUGACUACACAGAACUUUGAUGGUUGCAAUGGCCAUAGAACUUGUUUUAUGUGUGAAUGUUUAAUGAUUUGUUCUAGGUA